rnacentral:rRNA from 1 species
GAUGAACGCUGGCGGCGUGCCUAAUACAUGCAAGUCGAGCGAACAGACGAGGCGCUUGUUCCUCUGACGUUAGCGGCGGACGGGUGAGUAACACGUGGAUAACCUACCUAUAAGACUUGGAUAACUUCGGGAAACCGGAGCUAAUACCGGAUAAUCUAUUCAACCGUAUGGUUCAAUCGUAAAUGACGGUUUUGCUGUCACUUAUAGAUGGCACUGCGACGCAUUAGCUAUAUGGUAAGGUAACGGCUUACCAAGGCAACGAUGCGUAGCCGACCUGAGAGGGUGAUCGGCCACACUGGAACUGAAACACGGUCCAGACUCCUAUGGGAGGCAGCAGUAGGGAAUGUUCCGCAAUGGGCGAAAGCCUGACGGGGCAACGCCGCGUGAGUGAUGAAAGUCUUCGGAUCGUAAAACUCUGUUAUUAGGGAAGAACAAAUGUGUAAGUAACUAUGCACGUCUUGACGGUACCUAAUCAGAAAGCCACGGCUAACUACGUG